rnacentral:rRNA from 1 species
UACGAAGGAUGCGAGCGUUAUCCGGAUUUAUUGGGUUUAAAGGGAGCGUAGGCGGUCUUAUAAGUCAGUGGUGAAAUCUCGUUGCUUAACAACGACCGUGCCAUUGAUACUGUAGGACUUGAGUACAGUUGCCGUUGGCGGAAUGUGUCAUGUAGCGGUGAAAUGCAUAGAUAUGACACAGAACACCGAUUGCGAAGGCAGCUGACGAAACUGUAACUGACGCUGAGGCUCGAAAGCGUGGGGAUCAAACAGG